GCCAUCAUGCUGAAUAUACGGGUUCUCGUUAGAUCACCUGGGAAGCAAGCAUCAUUGGGCGCGGUUAGUACUCUGGGUGGGUGACCACCUGGGAACACUGCGUGCCGUU
rnacentral:rRNA from 1 species